UCUUACGGGUUUGGAACAACACGAGGCAGCGGUUUAUGGGAGCAACAUCUUACCACAUGUCUAGCGGUGUUGAGUACUCCGUGGAACCCAGCAGGACAUCAGGAGGUCGAUACCACAAGAUUCAUGGCCACUGAAUAAGAAAGCUGACAGCCGAGGCAAAGAACACUCCGAAUGCGGAGUCAGUCUUUUGUGGCGCUGGACUAACUUACAGAUACUAAAUCGCAUGGAUGAUUAUGGUAGAAGAGAGGAGUAAAAGGCAGCAGACUCAUGCAGUCUCUGGACUCAUCAAAGCUUCUGGAAAGGACACUUGGUUGGGCUUUAGCAUGGAGAAGGAUGAGAUGAUUAAACGUG